CACUGACUGUCCAAAUCAGAGAACCGAGUGUCAUUGCUAUCUUCCUUACAUUGUAAAAUGUGGCAAAGCACACAGAAAGCCGACCAUCUUCAACAUUUCGGGUAUGCAGUUCAGCAGUGUUUGAUAAAGUCACAGCGUUGUGCCAUCAUUGCUCUUGGAUGUCUGAUCUCAUAUUUAUCUAAAGUCACAAGAGGUAAAUGAUGGAUACGAGGAUUCAAACCUGAGAGCCUCGAGGUGCACAAGGAGAAAGAAACCAGCAGACAGUCGGGAUGCAGUAAGGUCUGUGAAUGAAGCAAAGGGUGCUGAAUUUAGAACGCCGAAGAUGAAAAUAAACAGUUGAACUCCUUGAAGAAGAAAAGAAGGCUGCAGAGGAGUGAGAUGGUUCUGUGUUCAUUGAUACCUGUCGUAUGAGUACCUGUUGAGCAUCUCAGAUAAUUCUCAGGGUUCGUGCUUUGGAGAAGGCAAUGGUGGAACAGACUAGCGAGGUCGCCUACUUGAAGCACAGAUUGGUGACCAUGCAAAGUCAGAGGCUGCAGGAAGAAUACAGGCUGCAGAUGCCAGCACUGGGAGGACCUGGCAGGGACAGCCUUCCUUGGGGAGGUAGGAGCAUGCUGCAAAGGGGGCUGCUCGGCUUCUGCUGCCAAAAGAACACACCCUGCUUCGCACUUCGGAUUCAGGACCUCAUGGAGUUCCCUUGAACAGUGGUGGCUGGAUCUCUACUGAGGUCCCAGAAGAGGAAGUAGUAAAUGCCGAGGUCGUUCUCCCUAGUUCUGAGAAUCAGACACAGGACAUGAAGAAUUUGGGGAAAGUUCUCCCACAAGUAGCUGUUCUCACAUGUGAGGUCAACAUGGCUGCCAGAAGACCCCCCUCCCUUUCUAGGACCACCCUGCAUGCCCUACCUCUACCCCAUGCAUGAACCUCUGGGACCUCAGCCGUUGCCUCCACACCCACCACCAGGACAACCAUUUUGACACGUCAAGAAGACUCUCAGAGGUGGUCGGCAGCUGUGGUUCCUAUAAAACGAAACAAGGUGAGCGCAGGGAGGGGCCUGCAUUGACACCCUC